UUUCCGUAGGUGAACCUGCGGAAGGAUCACUAGUAGGAUGGGAGAAGGGGGGGAUAGGAAGGAGUUAUUCUGAGUUGAGUUAUUCAGAGUUAUUCUGAGAUAUUCAGAGUUAUUCUCGAGAUAUUCUUUAGAGUUGCUUCAUUCAUCCCCCACAUAUACUCGCUUGAUUGUCAGACUGUCAGUAUUUUUAUAAUAUCACAACUUUUAACAAUGGAUCUCUUGGCUCUU
rnacentral:misc_RNA from 1 species